ACCAUCACGGCCGAUUCCUUCCAUUUUUCCCAAUGUAAUUACCGCGCUUGUAUCCAAUCAGAUUCCCUUUUCGUAAUCAUUGGCUGGCCCCAGGCUUUCAGCUUUCAUCUCCCGUUAGACCUCACCGCUGUUAGUGUGGCUAGGUUCAACUUUGGAUUUCAUAUGUGAGGCAGCGCAUCCAGCCUGAGUGGUGACUGUGGAUGUACUGUGCAAGAACUACAUAUGCAUGUGAAAGCACUGCAUGUAUGUACAUGUACACAGUGGACUGUUCCUUGUGGACUUAGUAACUGCUGGACAGGUGUGGAUGGUCUGAGGCUCAGUAUUGGCUGCUCCUGGCUGGAGGGAGGCUCCACGCCGUGCAGUGUGAUUGAACCGGUGAACUGAACAUAACUGAAGACCUUUUCAGAUUAAAUGCAGGGUAGUGCUUGUGGUUGAUGCAGGAGAUCUCAUACAAAUUUAAUACUCUACGAUCGUAUCCUUAAUUGGUUGAGCUCAACUAGCAUCUACUUGAUGAAAGUUGUGUUGUAAUAAAACCAAGAAGAGAAAGAGACAGUGCCUAUUUGGCUUACACACGUAUGCAGAAAAACUGCACCUUUAAAUUUUCGCUCGAACUGAAAAUAGUUAUGAAAUAUUACUUGAUAUUGUGACUCCUGGGUAUAUUUCAAAUCAAAUAACAGAGCAUAAACCAUACAAAUUCUCUGUCUUCUCGUAUUAAUCUUGAGCUGAAGUUCAGGACUACUCACUCGUAAGUGUUUAGUAGAAAAAUGUGCACAAAACCUAUUCAGAAAACUGCAGCUUUACCCUCAUGUCACUGGACCCCUGUUGACGUCAUCAUCACAAUUUUAUACAGGGACCCUCUCUAGGUGGUAGACUAAGAAUAUGACCUAAAAUCUGCCAGCUCAAAACGUGUCCAAACCCUAUGAAAAGAGUUAGAUAAUCAAAAUUAAAGAAUAAACCGCUCAAUGAAGUUAUCAUGACGAAUUGA